UAAUACCCGAAGCCUGUGACCUAAUUGAGGAGCAGUCGAAGGUAGGAUUGAUGACUGGGGUGAAGUCGUAACAAGGUAGCCGUAUCGGAAGGUGCGGCUGGAUCACCUCCUUUCUAAGGAG
rnacentral:rRNA from 1 species